rnacentral:lncRNA from 1 species
UCAGCCUCCCAAAGUGCUGGGAUUACAGGCGUGAGCCACUGCACCCAGCCCAGAUAUUUAUUUUUGAAUGAUGCUAGGCUCUGAGGAUGCAAAGGUUGUUUCAGUUGUUAUUCCUGCUCUGCAGGAGUUCCCAGUCCAGGAGGAGAUAGUGGCAGGAGUGACAAACUAUGCCCCAGAAAGCCAGGAAAGGCUCCUCUGGCAAGUGACGUUGAACUAGGACUUGAAGAUCAAGUAGGAGUUCACCAGGCAGACAGGAUGAGGUUAGCUGGGAUAUUUCAACAGCAUGGACAACAGGGCAUGAGAAAAUGGGAAGAGAGAAUGGGCAAGGGGUCAUCGAUGGACCGGAGAUGGGAUGGUAGGGACAGAAACUGCAGGGUCCGCAGAAGGAACUGCUCACCGAAAGCCAACAAGCUUGCCCUGUGGAAUCCCAGAAAGGCCCAGGAACUUCGGGACAUCACUGAAGGCAGAGUGAAGAGAGGAAGAGAAGACAGAGAAAUGGAGGGGAGAAAACUAUUAAAAUAAGUAAUAAGAAAACUUUCCCCAGAAGUGCAGAAUCUGAAUUUCCAGUAUAAAAGGGUCCAUUGAGCGCCAAGAACAAUGAAGGAAAAAAGGUCCCACUCAGGCCUACGUAUCAUUGUGAAAUUUCAGAACUAGAGGGAUAAAGAAAAGAUCCUAAAAGCUUCCCGAGAGAUAAAAAAGAAGAUUUUUACAAAGGAUCAGCAAUCAGAAUUGCCUCAGACUGCUCAAUAAAAACAUCAGAAGCUAGAAGAAAAUAGAAUGAGGCAUCAAAAUCCUGAGGGAAAUGAUUCCCACCUAUAAUUUCAUAUUCUGCUCAAUUAUCAAUUGAGUAUUGAAGGGAAAUAAAGACAUUUUUAGACAUGCAGUUUCUCCACUUGAUCUUAGCCCAAAGGCCGAGAGGCAAUGACAUGCAGUUUCUCAAAAGGUUUGCUUCCCACUUUCUUGGAAAAAACCAAGAAAGAGGGGGCCUGGGGAACCAGGGGAUCCCAACACAGGAGAGUGGCAGAGGAAGCUCCCAGGAUGAUGGAAAAUGGAAGCAAACC